rnacentral:rRNA from 1 species
UACAGAGGGGGCAAGCGUUGUUCGGAAUUACUGGGCGUAAAGGGCGCGUAGGCGGCCUGUUAAGUCGGACGUGAAAUCCCUGGGCUCAACCCAGGAACUGCGUCCGAUACUGGCAGGCUUGAAUCCGGGAGAGGGAUGUGGAAUUCCAGGUGUAGCGGUGAAAUGCGUAGAUAUCUGGAGGAACACCGGUGGCGAAGGCGGCAUCCUGGACCGGUAUUGACGCUGAGGCGCGAAAGCCAGGGGAGCAAACGGG